UAAAUCUCCCCUCGUUCUUGCUGGUUUCUCCCUUGUUUACUGGGGAAGUCUACAUUUGGACGGUUGGUUAGAAAGUGUUAUUCUUCCUUCAAGGUGAGAUGGUUUGCUGUCACUCACUGUUAUUAUUGUUGUUAUUGUUAUUGCUUUUCUUUUGAGUAGUCUGGUUCUAAAUGAUAUAUUGACCUUAUCCCAUAGGUAGCAACAUUUUAUCUUUUGAUCUUUGGACCUAUAAUUUAGCAUGGUUUACAGUAA